rnacentral:rRNA from 2 species
CGAAGUCUGACGGAGCACGCCGCGUGAGUGAGGAAGGCCUUCGGGUCGUAAAGCUCUGUUGUGAGGGAAGAAGCGGUACCGUUCGAAUAGGGCGGUACCUUGACGGUACCUCACCAGAAAGCCACGGCUAACUACGUGCCAGCAGCCGCGGUAAUACGUAGGUGGCAAGCGUUGUCCGGAAUUAUUGGGCGUAAAGCGCGCGCAGGCGGCUUCUUAAGUCUGAUGUGAAAUCUCGGGGCUCAACCCCGAGCGGCCAUUGGAAACUGGGGAGCUUGAGUGCAGAAGAGGAGAGUGGAAUUCCACGUGUAGCGGUGAAAUGCGUAGAGAUGUGGAGGAACACCAGUGGCGAAGGCGACUCUCUGGUCUGUAACUGACGCUGAGGCGCGAAAGCGUGGGGAGCAAACAGGAUUANAUACCCUGGUAGUCCACGCCGUAUACGAUGAGUGCUAGGUGUUAGGGGUUUCGAUGCCCGUAGUGCCGAAGUUAACACAUUA